rnacentral:rRNA from 1 species
GGGGGGGGCGGGGGGGGGGGCGGAGGGAUGGAAGGCGGGCGGGGGCGCAGGAGGAGCUGGGUAUUACGGGUGGCGGGGGGGGGACGGGUGGGGAAGACAUCGGGAUCUACUUGUUCGUGGGGGAUAGCGUAGGCAAACUUACGCUAAUACCUCAUAAUACCUACGGUUGAAAUCAUGGGAUCUUCGGCCCUGUCUCGAUUGACUGAGCCGAUGUCGGAUUCGCUAGUUGGCUUGGUAACGGCCCACCAAGGCGACGAUCCGUAGCUGGUCUGAGAGGAUGAUCAGCCACACUGGAACUGAGACACGGUCCAGACUCCUACGGGAGGCAGCAGUGGGGAAUAUUGGACACUGGGCGAAAGCCUGAUCCAGCCAUACCGCGUGAGUGAAGAAGGCCUUCGGGUCGUAAAGCCCUUUUGUUGGGAAAGAAAAGAAGCAGGUUAAUACCCCGAUGUUCUGACGGUACCCAAAGAAUAAGCACCGGCUAACUUCGUG